UUUUCUAAAUUCUGACUACAUAAUGAGUAAUUUUUGUCGUUUAAAAAUAGAUAAUUGUAUAUAAAAUAAUGAACAAUCUCGAAAAUAAACAUAACAUGGGAAGAGGAAGUGAUUUUCACCUUGGAUUCGCAGUUCUGAUCACUAGAAUCAUCAUGCACAAUCACACAUGACGCCACACGCGUGUCAUUGAAAUUGCCUCGCUAGGAUGCAUGUGUUGUCACCACCACCAUGCACUGUUGCUAGAAGCGUCAUUCGCUGCCACUGGAAAUGCCAUGUGCCGCCAGAUCACUGCGUGCUAUUGCGAACAGACCAGAACACGCUACAGAACACACUGCACAAUUGGAUCCAACAUAGAUAUGGUGGAAUCGUGCCAGAGAAAGAUGUGGAUGCAUGAAACCAUGCCUGGUCACCGUCACAGUUCUCCUUCUUCUCUGCAGACACCAUCACACAUUCUCUCUCUUUGACCUUUUGGUGUAGUGCCUCUCUGUUGUACCGUACACCGCACGCACCAGAUCCGCUUUGCUGUCGGUUUGGUAUGUUCCCUCCCUCUCUCUCUCUCUCUCUCUCUCCCCGAGCUAUUUUCUCUCUCUUCGCAAAUCACACUCUCUCUAUUCGUUGGAUUCUAUUUCUCUUCCUUCAUCCCAAUUUGUUUUUUUUUUUUUUUUUUGUUUAAUAGGUGGGAGGACAGAUGGCCCUGCACACCUCUUCUUCCUUCUUCAGCG
rnacentral:lncRNA from 1 species